rnacentral:rRNA from 1 species
GAGUGGCAGACGGGUGAGUAACGCGUGGGAAUCUACCCAUCCCUACGGAAUAGCUCCGGGAAACUGGAAUUAAUACCGUAUACGCCCUUCGGGGGAAAGAUUUAUCGGGGUUGGAUGAGCCCGCGUUAGAUUAGCUAGUUGGUGGGGUAAAAGCCUACCAAGGCGACGAUCUAUAGCUGGUCUGAGAGGAUGAUCAGCCACACUGGGACUGAGACACGGCCCAGACUCCUACGGGAGGCAGCAGUGGGGAAUAUUGGACAAUGGGCGCAAGCCUGAUCCAGCCAUGCCGCGUGAGUGAUGAAGGCCCUAGGGUUGUAAAGCUCUUUCAGUGGGGAAGAUAAUGACGGUACCCACAGAAGAAGCCCCGGCUAACUUCGUGCCAGCAGCCGCGGUAAUACGAA